rnacentral:rRNA from 1 species
UACGGAGGGGGCUAGCGUUGUUCGGAAUUACUGGGCGUAAAGCGCACGUAGGCGGACUGUUAAGUCGGGGGUGAAAUCCUGGGGCUCAACCUCAGAAUUGCCUCCGAUACUGGCAGUCUCGAGUGCGGGAGAGGUGAGUGGAAUUCCCAGUGUAGAGGUGAAAUUCGUAGAUAUUGGGAAGAACACCAGUGGCGAAGGCGGCUCUCUGG